rnacentral:autocatalytically_spliced_intron from 1 species
AUUGUGGUCGAUAAGUAUCUGGUUGACCGCUUCGUACACGCCGCCCAAAUUGUGCAUCAAAGUUUUAUCAAACAGCUUAA